CCCUACGGGGGGCAGCAGUGGAGAAUAUUGGGCAAUGGACGCAAGUCUGACCCAGCAACGCCGCGUGAAGGAAGAAGGCUUUCGGGUUGUAAAGUUCUUUCGACAGGGAAGAAAAUGCCUAUAAGUAACUGUGUAUGUAUUGACGGUACCUGUAUAAGCAGCCCCGGCUAACUCCGUGCCAGCAGCCGCGGUAAUACGGAGGGGGCGAGCGUUGUUCGGAGUGACUGGGCGUAAAGAGCACGUAGGCGGUGUUGUAAGUCAUUAGUCAAAGACUAGAGCUCAACUUUAGUAAGGCUAGUGAUACU
rnacentral:rRNA from 1 species